ACCUGUGAAAAGAAGAGGGAUGACUCCAGUGGGACAUUCCUGAACCAUGUGCACCUAUUCACCUAGGAGAAGGAAUGGCUGGAGUUGCAUCUAUCUUUCUGUUUAUGAAAUAUGGGCCCAACUCCAGCGACAACAUAAUUUUUAGACCAUUUAGUGGAAUAAUAAAAGUCAAAAGAGGAAAGAGAACUUACAUGGAUUGAACACCCACUGCAUGCUUAGCUCUCUGCUAGGUGCAUUACAGAAAAGAGCUUAUUGAAUUCUUACGCAAACCCUUGAGGAUGAAUGGCCGCUCACCUGGAGUCUUGAUAGCCAGGUGAUGCAGAUUUAGGAGAAGAAGUCCACCUCAGGUCAGGUUUCCCCAAAGGCAGAUCCUGAGAUGAGGAAUCCAGGACCUAUCACUUACUUGGGAGAGGCAGAGUUUCCUUAUGUUGCCCAGGCUGGCCUCAAA
rnacentral:lncRNA from 1 species